GAUGAACGCUAGCGGCAGGCCUACCACAUGCAAGUCGAGGGGUAACUAGAGUGAUAGCAAUAUUACUUUGGCUAGACCGGCGCACGGGUGCGUAACACGUAUGCAACCUACCUUAUACUGGGGAAUAACUUCGAGGAAUCGGCGCUAAUACCCCAUAACAUUGCGAAGAGGCAUCUCUUUGCAAUUAAAGCUCCGGCGGUAUAAGAUGGCAUGCGUCCAAUUAGCUAGUUGGUGAGGUAACGGCUCACCAAGGCUACGAUUGGUAGGGGUUCUGAGAGGAUGAUCCCCCACACUGGUACUGAGACACGGACCAGACUCCUACGGGAGGCAGCAGUGAGGAAUAUUGCGCAAUGGACGAAAGUCUGACGCAGCCAUGCCGCGUGCAGGAGGACGGCCCUAUGGGUUGUAAACUGCUUUUGUACGGGAAUAAACCCUUCUACGUGUAGGAGGCUGAAGGUACCGUAAGAAUAAGCACCGGCUAACUCCGUGCCAGCCGCCGCCGUAAGAC
rnacentral:rRNA from 1 species